GACGGAGGAUGCAAGCGUUAUCCGGAAUUAUUGGGCGUAAAGCGUCCGCAGGUGGCUGUUCAAGUCUGCUGUCAAAGCGCAGAGCUUAGCUCUGUACAGGCGGUGGAAACUGAAGAGCUAGAGUAUGGUAGGGGUAGAGGGAAUUCCCGGUGUAGCGGUGAAAUGCGUAGAUAUCGGGAAGAACACCAGUGGCGAAAGCGCUCUACUGGGCCAUAACUGACACUGAGGGACGAAAGCUAGGGGAGCGAAAGGG
rnacentral:rRNA from 1 species